AAAUAUAGACUUUAUAUUUGUAUAUGGUUAUCUUUCAUUAAUAUGUAUUUCUUUUAAGCAAUCCUUCUGCUAUUUGUUAUAGAUUAUUUUUGUUUCGGGUCUACUUUGCGAUGCAUGGCUCUCUGGCUGUAUCUGAUGUAACCUUAACUUCCAUGCAAAUCACCAUUACCAUUUAUUAUGGCCCGAUAAAACAGGCCAGAGACAAAUAUCAUAAUAACCACUUUUGGUGAAGAUAAAAAAACUAUAGAGUCCUUCUCUGUUCCGUCAUACAAAAAUCAAAAAGGAAAGCUUAUCGUCUUACUGUAUAUAGGCUGAAGACUAAAUAUGCAACAAGGGGUGCACACUUUGUUCCCAUGGGAACACAAAUGACUUGUCUGAAAACUGCAUUUCCAAACCUGACGUAAAUAUUGUUCAAUAAAAAGGAAAGGGUUUUACAAACUUCAUCACAUGUCCACAUAUUUUUUUCUCAAUUUGACUAAUGAUAAAUGCUUUUAUCGAAAUUGCAAACGACAAAAGUAGCAUUUUCCCUGGCAAAAGUCUUUUGAAUUAAGGCAGUUAGUUAAUUCUAUAGGUUAUGUGGUUCAAUGGUGUACAAAGUAGAAAACCAUCGCAUCUACUGACUGCAAACACCUUGUAAUUAUUAGUUCUAAAUUUAUCAAGAAUGUCGCCGGGAUUUUUAAAUGUACAUACGUUUUUACCAUAAUGUUUAUAUACUGUAUCAAAAUAUCUCUUCACGUGGGCUUUUACAGCAGUAAGGCGUGAUGUUAAUAAUUGGAAAUAUUUGGAUAAAACGAUCUUUACAUGGUUGUUUAUCUAAUUUUGAAAUCAAGUAAAUCCUUUGAAGUUGAAUUCUCUAGUCAUCUAUAAGAAUUCAAAAUUAAAAUUAAAAAACUCAAAUUAGAAACUUCAGUGAUGCAAUCUGUUAUCAAAUGAUGUUCAAAUGGAGUGCUCAGUAUACAAGCUUUAACACUAUUUAGUUCGCUUCGUAAAGUAUUCAUAUAAUGCAGCAUCAAACGAUGAUCAUAUUGUUGGCCGCCUUGGCUAUUGAAAUAAAACAUACUUAGAAUGAUAUUCUUGGACUUUUUGCCAGAUAUUUUAAAGUGAACUUGUGUUUAGGUUGAAGUAGAUUCUUAUUUAUUUUAUAAAAUUUAAUACGGAAAUCGACAAUAUUAAAGAUAUUACGCUUCUAAGACGACAAUGCAUUGGAAUCAUCAUUUUCACGCCGCCGCUAUUUAACAGAAACAGUUUCGAUAGAUUCUGCAAUCUGAUUUUUUAGGCCCUUUAAAAAAUACGAAUAAACGAUUGUCUUUGAUAAUAUCAAAAUUACAAUUGAUGACAUGGCCUGCAUCUGAUUAGCAAAAUUAUUUCUUUUUACAUUUACUGAUGUCGGAGUAUUUGUAUGUACAUCUAGGUGUGGAACGGUUUUCUUGUAAGUGAAUAUAGUAUUUCUUACAUGUGUGUUAUAUCUAUAACAGACAAUCGGAACUUCAGAGUUACUAAAUUAUUUAGGCACAGAAUCAAUGCCACGUUUAUCCCGAAAUAUACUAGGUGUAUCGAUGCUGUCAAUACCUUUAUCAUAUAACAUAUCUUAAGAAAAUGUACGCCAUGGUCAGAUUGAGGGUCAAUAUGUGGACGGAAAAUAUGUUUUGUAAAACUUUGAAUAAGAUGCCAUGAUAUAGAGUAAUAAAGGUCUGUAUGAAUAACGUUUGGUCUGCUACUUUAUCUAGACUUUUUUAAGAGACAAGAAGGCACUGGGUGUCUACCAGAGUUUGAAAGAAUUGACUCAAGGUCUGCAACAGAUAUAUUGACUUAAGAUUCGCACUUAAUAUCACCAAUGGGUCUUAUACCAUGAGAUAUAGAUUUACGUUUUCUAAUGUUUAAAAUAGAAAAAUAUCAAUAUCAGGGUUUUCAGAGACAUAACAUAGAGAUAUAUAUUCAUUUAAACUUUACGAUGCCCGCCGGCAUAUCUCUGAAGGGAGAGCUUUGGUCUACGAAUCGCGGGGUCGCCAGUUCAAUCCGCGAGCGGGGCAUAUGUUCUCCGUGACGAUUUGACAGAAGACAUUAUGCCUGAAAUCAUUCGUCCUCCAACUCUGAUAAUUCAUGUGGGGAAGUUGGCAGUUACUUGCGGAGAACAGGUUUGUACUGGUACAGAAUCCAGGAACACUGGUUAGGUUAACUGCCCGCCGAUACAUGACUGAAAUACUGUUGAAAAUACGGCGUUAAACCCAAAUCAAAGAAACAAAUUAAGCCUUACGGAAACGGUGACUUUAAAGUUUUGAUCCAUUUGAAUUCUGAUAAAUUUAUAGCUUUGUUUUAAAAUGCGAGUUGGAAUUUAUAUCGUAUAAGAUUCAUUCUACUAGCUGUAUUCAUACCUGGUCAAAAGUAUGGCCUGAUCUACGAAAGUGCUGGUAUUAAAAUGUAGGGAACUUUUUUUGACUACGUAUUUUGUACGAAUGUUCGCGGAAACGAAAUGUUAAAGAUCGCACAGUUUGGCCAACAUACUGAAUACCAUAAUUUUGGGCGUUUAAUUUCGGUACAUAAAUCAUGUGGAUGCAUUUCAGUCAAUGUCAGAAUUUAGUUUUACAAUGAAGCGAUAGUAUACAUGUGCGACAAAUGAUUGCAACAACCGCAUGUCUUAGUAUUUAAUAAUUAUAGGGUUUUUUAUUAUUUAUUUUCAUAUAUAUUCCUCACAUGAUACAUAUAAUUGUAGCAGUGCCAUUAUUUUGAUAUAUAUUUAAUAUGUCGUUUUUAAUCUGUAUAGUGUCUUUAAACAUUCACAGCUGACAAAUUAGACAUGGGUCUUUAAUGUAAUUGAAAUGUGUUCCGCAUUUCCAUGCUUUUUUAACGCAUAGUUAUUUUUAGACUUGUUUACUUGCUUAAUCAGCCAAUCAUAUUUUCGCAUUGGUUGAAAUGUGUGGUCACAUGACUAGUAGUUCUGUGCAGAACAUAUUGAUGACAGCUAUAGUGACAUGUACUUUUGGGAGCUGUCAUAUGUUUUACUUGGUUUUUAAGGAUUGAUAUGAUUGUUUGGAUUCAGCAUCGUUAAUACAGUUGCUGCACAGAGAACAGUGUGUGUUUGUGUGAGAUCAGAUGUUAGUAGAAUGUAGGAAUCAGAGAGACCACCCAACACUCUAUUACAGUGUUUUCAAGUGUAUUCCAUAUCCAAGAGAAUGAUGCAUUGUUUGUAUUAUUGUAUGAUGGACAGAAAAGUAAAUAAACAUCUAGUAAACUACCACUGAGUUCAGUCGUGUGGCCCUGCUAGAUAAUUCCAUGUCUAACUGAAUGCUACAGAAGAAACAAUAGCAAGUUCUCAAACAUAUCAAUUGCUCUAUGUGAUGAAGUUUUAUAGUUUGCAACAAAAAUCAAAAAAAGAGAAAUAAUUUUCUGAAAUAAAAAAAAAUAUUGGAAUUGAGAGAAAAAAGGGUUUUUUGUCGUCCAAAAAAAAUCUGUUUUUGUCCUUUUUUAUUUUAUUUUAUUUCCUUUUGUCGUUUCUAGUUUCUAUUCACUUACACUUGUUCUAAUUAUAAAUUAACUGUCAGGAAUAUGUGUUUAUUUAUAAAAACAUGCAUACACUAAUCUUUUUUUUUUUUUGCCUUUAAAUAUAAUUUUCUACAGUUAUAUCAAGCAUGGACCAUUUUCUUUCAUGAUAGUUCAUUUUACCACACAUGAAAGCUAUUUCUCUUUCUAUUUCUCUUUCUAUACUGAUUCUUAUUUUCAAAUAAUGCAUAAAUGACUCAAAGCAUGGAACUCUUUUUCUAUUUUUCAUUUGAAAUAUAUAAUACUUCACCAAAUAAAUGAUAAAAUUUAAUACACUUUUUACACAUUAUUUUGCAAAAAGUCAAAACUUACACUUUCUAUACCAAACUUUACUUCAACUUUCUUUUGUUUAAGAAAUUAAGUCAAGUUGUUCCACAAGACUUGUACCUGGCAACAUUCCCGGAAUAAAACGUUUUCAGGUUGCAUAUUACAAAAAUCACAAAUGUGUGUAGGGGAUAUAUCCAUUCUAAAUAGUCUUGUAUUUGUUGGCAAGAUUCUCUUGAUGCAUUUAUAUUGAAAGCUUCUGAUUUUUGUAUCUAUUGUGACUUUGAAAGGUUGAGUAUAUACUUUUUUCCACUCAAUAUUGCUUUAAUAAUUAUAGUUAAUAAAACGAUACCCUCUACAUUUA